UACGUAGGUGGCGAGCGUUGUCCGGAUUUACUGGGCGUAAAGCGCGCGCAGGCGGACUGAUCAGUCUGGGGUGAAAUCUCACGGCUCAACUGUGAGCGGUCCCUGGAUACUGUCAGCCUUGAGAUGUCUAGAGGAGAGCGGAAUUCCCGGUGUAGCGGUGAAAUGCGCAGAUAUCGGGAGGAACACCGAUGGCGAAGGCAGCACUCUGGGCCGGUACUGACGCUGAGGAGCGAAAGCGUGGGGAGCGAACAGG
rnacentral:rRNA from 1 species